rnacentral:rRNA from 1 species
UAAUACCAGCGCCACAAGUGGCAAUCGUGUAUUUGGUCUAAAGCGUCCGUAGCAGGUUUGCUAAAUCUUUUGUGAAAUUCUCAGGCUUAACUUGAGAGAGUGCAGGAGACACUGGCAGACUCGAGACCGGGAGGAGUCAGAGGUAUGCAUGAGGGACCGGUAAAAUGGGAUAAUCUCAUGCAGACCACCUAUGGCGAAGGCAUCUGACCAGAACGGAUCUGACUGUGAGGGACGAAAGCCAGGGGAGCGAACCGGAUUAGAUACCCGAGUAGUCCUAGCCGUAAACGCUGCCAGUCAGAUGUUGCGUAUUCUACGGGAAUGCGCAGUGUCGAACCGAAGGGGUUAAACUGGCCACCUGGGAAGUACGGUCGCAAGGCUG